rnacentral:snRNA from 1 species
AUCCUGUCUCCCACACUGUAAUCUGGAAGGUGGUUUUAGUAAAGUGAGUCUCAUCUCUUGCACGUUGGGUGUGCUGACCUUCACGAUUUCUCCAGUGCAGGAUACUCGAUGGGAUUUGUGAUAGUGGAGGAAUGUGUUAAUGAUCUCCUUUG